rnacentral:rRNA from 1 species
UACGGGGGGAGCAAGCGUUGUUCGGAUUACUGGGCGUAAAGGGCGCGUAGGCGGUCGUGACAAGUCACUUGUGAAAUCUCCGGGCUUAACUCGGAACGGUCAAGUGAUACUGUCGGACUAGAGUACAGAAGGGGCAACUGGAAUUCUCGGUGUAGCGGUGAAAUGCGUAGAUAUCGAGAGGAACACCUGCGGCGAAGGCGGGUUGCUGGGCUGAUACUGACGCUGAGGCGCGAAAGCCAGGGGAGCGAACGGGG